UAGGGUAGGAUUAGGGUUGGUUUAGGGUUAGGGUUAAAGUAGGGUUAGGGGUAGGAGUAGGGUUAGGGGUAGAGUUAGGAAUAGGGUUAGGGUUACCCUACCCUAACCCUACCCCUAACCCUACUCCAACCACUAACCCUACCCCAACCCCUAACCCAACCACUAACCCUACCCCAAGCCUUAACCCUAGACCUAACCC